rnacentral:rRNA from 1 species
UACGAAGGGGGCUAGCGUUGCUCGGAAUUACUGGGCGUAAAGCGCUCGUAGGCGGAUCUUUAAGUCAGGGGUGAAAUCCCAAGGCUCAACCUUGGAACUGCCUUUGAUACGGGGGAUCUCGAGUCCGGAAGAGGGUGGUGGAACUGCGAGUGUAGAGGUGAAAUUCGUAGAUAUUCGGAAGAACACCAGUGGCGAAGGCGGCCAACUGGUCCGGUACUGACGCUGAGGUGCGAAAGCGUGGGGAGCAAACAGG